GCCUUUUCACAGCAACCUCUGAAAACCUGGGCUUUUAAGAUGUCAUCAAAAGGAAUGUAGUGAUCUAAUGCUGAAAUCAUGAAGCACCUCACGAGAUGGUUUUCCCAUUGACGCUGAAUUUUACCAGAGUUGGAGUACCUUAGAAGAUCCCUUAGGGAGUGUUUUUCUGUAUAACCCCAAUCGCUGAUGCUCCUCCUAUCAGGUUUACAGAAGAAAGCACUGCAUUUUAUUCUUCAACUAGACCGUGGGAUGAUGGAGUAACACUGCCACAGAAUUCUCAGCAGAAACAUAUCUUGCUAGAAUGUGCUCAGGAUUUUUUGAACAGUCCGUGAAAGGUGACAGGGAUGUUAAUCUCCACUUCAGCCCUGGCGAC